AUGCAUAAAAUUAUUUAAAGAAGAUCAGAAUAUUACGUGUAUUUAAAAUAUAUAUUAAAAUAUAUAUUAAAGUAUAUAAAAUUGCAAAUGCCAUUUUGAAAUCAGACGGGAAUUAUAGAUUUAAAAUUAAUGGCUAAAAUUAAUAAAAUAUGUAUAGCCAUUAAUAACAAUAUGUAUAUCAUGUUCAGUUGGACGUCAUUGAAUUCAAAUAACAUUUUUAUCGAACUUCUUCAAUCUCUCUCACAAUCAGUAGAAUAGAAGAGGACUUACCUCACAAGCGACGCCGACGUUGCGAACGAAUUCGCGAAGUGAAGCGUAGAUAAAAGGACAUUCAUGGCGGUUGAUUCAGCGACACGGGGAGCGGGCGGAAUUCGGAGUCUGUUUUAUUAUACGCGACGAAUAUCUUAGUACGCGCGUGUGGCGCUUCGGGGCGCUUGACGCGCUGUUCAUGUACACUCAUUAUCCUUCGCGGCGAUCGUGACGGGACGGGAAGGAGCGUGCCAUGAAGCAUCGUUCACUCUACAUUGACGUCUCGUAUUGAAUAUCUAUCUCUCGAGGUCAGGUAUUCGGCAAGAUUCACUCGUUCAAAACCGAGAACCGUAGGGAUUACCGUGAUAGAAAUAAUUAUUGCUUUAUCGUACUCACGAAGUGUCGGGAAUCCAUCUCGAAUGAUCGGACAGUCCGAGAAUAAUCGUGAAUGUUGACACCAUAAAUAAUAUGUGCGUCUCGCCGGGAUUUAUACCGAAAAUAAAUAUGCGCACACUCGGAAUCUCGUUCAUAUAUACUCGUAUAUGCGAUGCCUUGCGUCGGAAUGUUGACACACGUCGUCGUAUCGCGUGAUAUCAGAGUGAAGUUGGCGUCAUUCUCACCUCUUCUGACCGUUAACGGAAGGUCAGAGGGUACGAGGCAGAAUAGUCUCCGAGUCAAGCGACGCGUUUAAUCAGCAAGGUACAGUCGUAAUUAGCCUCUCGCGUUUUAGCAGUCAUCUACCGCGUGAUGCAAAUUUGAUGUUUGUACGUCGGUAAUUUGUUAAAACGCCCAUUCGGCGAGAUACACUCGGACGAGCGCGGCAUUACGGACGUCUCGUGGACAAUUAUCAUUAAUUGUCGACUCGCGCGUGUUUGUUCUCCCUCACUCGUAUCGCACAACGCAAAAUAACAGAGACGACGACAACGACGACGACGACGACGACGACGACGACGACGAGGAGGAAAAGUCCGAAAGGGCGGGUUAAGAGCGGUGUAAACGUAGACUGAUAGACGUUGCGUUGCAUUGGCACGGCGGCGCGGGCGGGCGGGCGGGAGGCGCGUGAAGUUGGCCGCGCGUUUCCCGAAUUCCCACUGUCGCGUCACGUCGCGUCGUUCGAGAUUCGGCUGUUACGCCAACUUGGGUGACGCCGCGCGGGUGUGGAGCGGAUCGCGGUAUCGUGCAGAAUCGUGACUCUUUCGCGUCACUCCCUCGUCGUGUCGUGGUAAAGCGCGCGCGUCGGCUGCGGUUAAUGUCGGGAGUGUCGCGCGAUCGUCGUACUCUGGUGAUCCCGGCGCGUACGGUCGUAAUUAACUCGCGCUGUCGCGACCGUUGUGUUAGUGUUCACGGAAGAGUCAGCCAGCCACCCAGCCAGCCAGUCAGCCAGCUAUGGAACGCGAGAGGAGGAAGCGGCCCGGGGCGGCAUCGGGCAACGGCGGAGCAACCAUUGGAUUAACAUUCGUAUUACAACUCCGCUGCUGCGCAUCGUAUCGGUGAAUAACGAAUUUUUUUAUUUCAAUUGAAGCUAAUGGAUCCAUGACAGUAUCAUAUAUGUGUAAUUAAUAAUUCAAGUUAUAUAUGUGAGUAUAAUAGCAUAAUGAGUAUAAUAGUACAAUAAAUAUAACAUAAGUAAUAAUAUUUCGAUAAUCUUAAAAUGGAUGGACUAAGGAAAAUUUGUACAAAUAUUUAAUCCUAAAAUAUUGAAGAUCCAUCGAUUAUUUUUCGUGCAUAAAAUGCAAAAUUAAAAUUAUUACAAAUUAAAUUAUUACGAAUUUAAUAAGUUUAUUUUCUAAAUCGAAUUUUGUGUAAAAAAAAUACUAAUAUGUCAAUAUUUUUUUAAAGACAGUUUAAUAUUAAGGCUACAUUUUAAUGUGAGAGAUUUAAGAAAUAGUGGAAAUAAUGGCAUAUUAUAUGAUAGAAAUAUGAAUAUUAUUUGUUAAAAAAAAAUAUAUAUGUAUAUCUUACAAUGCGCACGCGAUAGUUGUAUACAUUCAUGGAGAUACAAACGUUAUGGACCGACAUUGAGUAGAAUCGUUGCAUUCCAUAACGUCCUGAUGUCUCCAUUCGUAAGUUAUGGGAUUCCAAAGUGUGCAAGAGUGAAUUCCGCCACUUGGAGCAAGAUCAGCGGCUAACUUUCACGCACCAUCGUAAAUCCACUCUUGUACUUCGAAACUCCGUAACUCACGAUCGAAUCAUCGGUAUGAUACAUUAUGGUGUGCCACAUCGGGAUUCCCACUAUGAUCUCUGGUCUAUGACUUCUAUGGCACGCUAAAAAUACGUGCUCCAAGAGAAUGAUAUGUAUUCGCCAACCGUGCCGCCGUCUCCAAA
rnacentral:lncRNA from 1 species